UACGUAGGGGCAAGCGUUGUCCGGAAUAAUUGGGCGUAAAGGGCGCGUAGGCGGCGAUGCAAGUCAGCAGUGGAAGUCCCAUUUUCAAGGUGGGGAGGGCUGUUGAAACUGCGUUGCUUGAGUGCAGGAGAGGUUAUCGGAAUUCCCGGUGUAGCGGUGGAAUGCGCAGAUAUCUGGAGGAACACCAGUGGCGAAGGCGGCCUCCUGGACCAUUCCUGACACUCAGACGCGAAAGCUAGGGUAGCAAACGGGAUUAGAUACCCCGGUAGUCCCU
rnacentral:rRNA from 1 species